GUGCUUGCUUCGGCAGCACAUACACUAAAAUUGGUACAAUACAGAGAAGAUUAGCAUGGCCCCUGCACAAGGAUGACACACAAAUUCAUGAAGCAUUCCAUAUUUUU
rnacentral:snRNA from 1 species